UCCCUGACCCCUUGAGGGUCCUAAAGGGCCGUUGGAGACCACAACGUUGAUAGGUGGGGUGUGUAAGCGCGGCGACGUGUUGAGCUAACCCAUACUAAUUACCCGUGAGGCUUAACCAUACAACACCCAAGAAGUGUUC
rnacentral:rRNA from 1 species